ACGGGAGGCAGCAGUGAGGAAUAUUGGUCAAUGGGAGAGAUCCUGAACCAGCCAAGCCGCGUGAGGGAAGACGGCCCUAUGGGUUGUAAACCUCUUUUGUCGGAGAACAAAACCCGGGACGUGUCCCGGACUGCGUGUAUCCGAAGAAAAAGCAUCGGCUAACUCCGUGCCAGCAGCCGCGGUAAUACGGAGGAUGCGAGCGUUAUCCGGAUUUAUUGGGUUUAAAGGGUGCGUAGGCGGUCUGUUAAGUCAGCGGUAAAAUUGCGGGGCUCAACCCCGUCGAGCCGUUGAAACUGGCAGACUUGAGUUGGCGAGAAGUACGCGGAAUGCGCGGUGUAGCGGUGAAAUGCAUAGAUAUCGCGCAGAACUCCGAUUGCGAAGGCAGCGUACCGGCGCCAGACUGACGCUGAGGCACGAAAGCGUGGGGAUCGAACAGGAUUAGAUACCCUGGUAGUCCACGCAGUAA
rnacentral:rRNA from 1 species